rnacentral:lncRNA from 1 species
AUAGAAUUUACCUUCCUUUCUCUGUAGGCAAUGAUGCGUUUCUGUUAAGUCCUACUUUAUAUGGAAGAAGUUUGUUUGCUUCGUUUCUGUUAAGUCCUAGUAGUGCACAUGCUGUUAUUAAGUUACAGUAUUGAGUUGAGAGCCGUCCUCGUUCAAGAAAACAUGUGGAAACAUAAUAUUCUCACCACAACGAAACAUCAUCUUUUUACUACUCGCGGGUUUGGGUACCGCGGGUCAUGGCGGGCUGACCCGCAAAGAUCCACAUGAGAUAGAGACUGCAGCGGGGCGGGUGGUACCAAUUGCCAUCCCUAGGAAGACCAGCGUCUGCAAAAAAUAGGACACACACACACACACACUCUAAAACAAAUCUCUUGAAAUUGUAGAUACUGAGUAAUUUGUAGUCUUAAUGUAAAUGCUAAAAAGAAAAGAAAUGCUACGUAGUAAGCAGCCAAAGAUCCAGCGUUCGAGGGAAAAUCAAGAAAGACAAUAAUAAAUCUUACGUGUGAAUUUAAGGUUUAAGCAUCAUACAAGAAACGAUGAGAAAAACUUUUCCAUAUCAAACUAUUCAUGAAAAUUAAUGUGUAUAUAUAUAGCCUAUUGUUCUCAAACAAUUUGCUUUAUGUUGAACUCUAGAAAAACAGUGUUAAAUACGGGAUGAGCUCUUUAAUGAUUGCAAAGGGAAAACAUUGCAUUAUUUAGACUAACAUAUGCAAAAAAAGACACAUGUUUAAGACACAACAAGAAACAAAAAACAGGAAACAUGACCAAAGCAACAAAGACUAGAAAUAUGAAACGAGAAUGCAAAGACACAACAAUAACAACUUUAUUCCAAGACACAUUAAUUUUAUUAUUCGACGGCUAGCUGCUUCAUUAGGCAUCGUCCGCACCAACAGACUUGCUGCUCUCUCCUUCACAGGUCUUCUUCAUCUCAUCCUCCUUAUCAGAUGGAUCCUCGAUCCACUUAUCCAUCAAAUAGACACUUCCCCCCUGUAUCAUUGGGAAUGGUGCCUUUGGGAUCUCACCCAGAAGAGUUUGGAACUUCUUACUUGCAUAUGACUUUAACUUCUCAGUC